rfam:Pichia sorbitophila strain CBS 7064 chromosome M complete sequence.
UUUUAUGAUGACCAAAAAUAUUCACACUGUAUGAAAGACUUUUGUCUUGAAGACUGUUAACAAAAUACUGAUUUAAUGAAUCUGAUG